rnacentral:rRNA from 2 species
AAUGGCUCAUUAAAUCAGUUAUCGUUUAUUUGAUAGUACCUUUACUUGAAUAACUGUGGUAAUUCUAGAGCUAAUACAUGCUAAAAACCUCGACUUCGGAAGGGGUGUAUUUAUUAGAUAAAAAACCAAUGCCCUUCGGGGCUCUCUGGUGAUUCAUAAUAACUUAACGAAUCGCAUGGCCUUGCGCCGGCGAUGGUUCAUUCAAAUUUCUGCCCUAUCAACUUUCGAUGGUAGGAUAGUGGCCUACCAUGGUUUUAACGGGUAACGGGGAAUUAGGGUUCUAUUCCGGAGAGGGAGCCUGAGAAACGGCUACCACAUCCAAGGAAGGCAGCAGGCGCGCAAAUUACCCAAUCCCAACACGGGGAGGUAGUGACAAUAAAUACUGAUACAGGGCUCUUUUGGGUCUUGUAAUUGGAAUGAGUACAAUUUAAAUCCCUUAACG